CCUACGGGGGGCUGCAGUGGGGAAUAUUGCACAAUGGGCGCAAGCCUGAUGCAGCCAUGCCGCGUGUGUGAAGAAGGCCUUCGGGUUGUAAAGCACUUUCAGCGGGGAGGAAGGCGGUGAGGUUAAUAACCUCAUCGAUUGACGUUACCCGCAGAAGAAGCACCGGCUAACUCCGUGCCAGCAGCCGCGGUAAUACGGAGGGUGCAAGCGUUAGUCGGAAUUACUGGGCGUAAAGCGCACGCAGGCGGUCUGUCAAGUCGGAUGUGAAAUCCCCGGGCUCAACCUGGGAACUGCAUUCGAAACUGGCAGGCUAGAGUCUUGUAGAGGGGGGUAGAAUUCCAGGUGUAGCGGUGAAAUGCGUAGAGAUCUGGAGGAAUACCGGUGGCGAAGGCGGCCCCCUGGACAAAGACUGACGCUCAGGUGCGAAAGCGUGGGGAGCAAACAGGAUUAGAUACCCGUGUAGUC
rnacentral:rRNA from 1 species